rnacentral:rRNA from 1 species
CACGUAGGGGCCAAGCGUUGUCCGGAUUUAUUGGGCGUAAAGAGCUCGUAGGCGGCUCGGUAAGUCGGGUGUGAAACCUCCAGGCUCAACCUGGAGACGCCACCCGAUACUGCUGUGGCUAGAGUCCGGUAGGGGAGCGUGGAAUUCCUGGUGUAGCGGUGAAAUGCGCAGAUAUCAUUUGGAACGCCAAUGGUGAAAACAGCUCGCUGGGGGUGUGCUGACGCUGAGACACGAAAGCCAGGGGAGCGAACGGG